rnacentral:rRNA from 1 species
ACCAGACUCCUACGGGAGGCAGCAGUGGGGAAUAUUGGACAAUGGGGGGAACCCUGAUCCAGCGACGCCGCGUGAGUGAAGAAGUAUUUCGGUAUGUAAAGCUCUAUCAGCAGGGAAGAAAGAAAUGACGGUACCUGACUAAGAAGCCCCGGCUAACUACGUGCCGGCAGCCGCGGUAAUACGUAGGGGGCAAGCGUUAUCCGGAUUUACUGGGUGUAAAGGGAGCGUAGACGGCGAUGCAAGUCUGAAGUGAAAGGCGGGGGCCCAACCCCCGGACUGCUUUGGAAACUGUAUGGCUGGAGUGCAGGAGAGGUAAGUGGAAUUCCUAGUGUAGCGGUGAAAUGCGUAGAUAUUCGGAGGAACACCGGUGGCGAAGGCGGCCAACUGGGCUUUAACUGACGCUGAGGCUCGAAAGUGUGGGGAGCAAACAGGAUUAGAUACCCGAGUAGA